rnacentral:rRNA from 1 species
UGGAAGUAAUAACGCCGAAAGGGGUACGUAAUACCGGACUAUCUUGCUUUUCAUAAGUUAUGCAAGCAAAGGUGGCCUCUGCAUAUGCUACUGCAUGAAGAGGGGUCUGCGUACCAUUAGCUAGUAGGUGGGGUAAUGGCCUACCUAGGCGACGAUGGUUAGCGGGUCUGAGAGGAUGAUCCGCCACACUGGCACUGGAACACGGGCCAGACUCCUACGGGAGGCAGCAGUGAGGAAUAUUGCGCAAUGGGGGAAACCCUGACGCAGCGACGCCGCGUGAGUGAGGGAAAAGGCCUUCGGGUCGUAAAGCUCUGUCAAGAGGAAAGAAGUGUACAAUGGCUAAUACCUGUUGUAUCUGACGGUACCUCUAAAGGAAGCACCGGCUAACUCCGUGCCAGCAGCCGC